AAACUCUGAAUUCUUAAUGGCUUAACCAGCAAAAAUUUAUAUCUCACACAUGUCAUAUAUUAGCAUAGGUCAGCGGGCAGCGAAGGUUGUGUGUCGCUCUACUCCACACCUUCACUUGGUAAUCAAGAUGCCUCAGAUUCCACCAUCUUGCAGCUACAUGGAACACGCAACCUUCAAGGUUGCUGUGAUGGGAAAAAAGGGUUAGGAAAGGCACAUCAGCCUGUAACUCCCUCAGCCUGAAAGUGAUACGGGUCACUUCCUUCACAGGCCCUUAGGCAGAAGUCAUCACACGACCCAUCCCAACUGAAGGGAGGCUGGGAAAAGCAGAGGAGCAGUGGAUUAUUUCACUUAAAAGAACACAGUUGCCAACUACCACAUUUUACAUAAGUAGAAAGGAAGAAAGAUGAGAUAAAGAUCCCAGGAAAAAGAAAAUCCAGUUUUUGUUUGGAUGCUAAACACUAUCUGUGUCGCCUUGGAUAACUUUGGACUUUAUUUUUUCAUCCAUAAAAUAAAGGGAGUUGGGUUAAAUUA